rnacentral:rRNA from 1 species
AUUGAACGCUGGCGGCAUGCUUUACACAUGCAAGUCGAACGGUAACAGGCCGCAAGGUGCUGACGAGUGGCGAACGGGUGAGUAAUGCAUCGGAACGUGCCCAGUCGUGGGGGAUAACUACUCGAAAGAGUAGCUAAUACCGCAUACGAUCUAUGGAUGAAAGCGGGGGACCGUAAGGCCUCGCGCGAUUGGAGCGGCCGAUGUCAGAUUAGGUAGUUGGUGGGGUAAAGGCUCACCAAGCCAACGAUCUGUAGCUGGUCUGAGAGGACGACCAGCCACACUGGGACUGAGACACGGCCCAGACUCCCACGGGAGGCAGCAGUGGGGAAUUUUGGACAAUGGGCGCAAGCCUGAUCCAGCAAUGCCGCGUGCAGGAAGAAGGCCUUCGGGUUGUAAACUGCUUUUGUACGGAACGAAACGGCUCUGGUUAAUACCCGGGGCUAAUGACGGUACCGUAAGAAUAAGCACCGGCUAACUACGUG